UACGUAGGGUGCAAGCGUUGUCCGGAAUUAUUGGGCGUAAAGAGCUCGUAGGCGGUCUGUCGCGUCGGCUGUGAAAUCCCGAGGCUCAACCUCGGGUCUGCAGUCGAUACGGGCAAACUAGAGUAUUGCAGGGGAGACUGGAAUUCCUGGUGUAGCGGUGAAAUGCGUAGAUAUCAGGAGGAACACCGAUGGCGAAGGCAGGUCUCUGGACAGUUCCUGACACUGAGGCACGAAGGCCAGGGGAGCAAACGGG
rnacentral:rRNA from 1 species